rnacentral:rRNA from 1 species
UACGGUGGGGGCAAGCGUUGUUCGGAAUUACUGGGCGUAAAGGGCUCGUAGGCGGCCAACUAAGUCAGGCGUGAAAUCCCUCGGCUUAACCGGGGAACUGCAUCUGAUACUGGAUGGCUUGAGUUCGGGAGAGGGAUGCGGAAUUCCAGGUGUAGCGGUGAAAUGCGUAGAUAUCUGGAGGAACACCGGUGGCGAAGGCGGCACCCUGGACCGGCACUGACGCUGAGGAGCGAAAGCGUGGGGAGCGAACAGG